AGUGUAUUAUAGCAAAUCUGCCAUCGAAAAAUAUGUAUCUACAUAAAAAAUAUAUAGUUCCAUUUAAAAAAUGAAACUUGACCAUCAUAUCUUUUAAACUAAUAAUGUAAAUAAAUUUUCGUUCACGCCAAAACAUAGGCCCCAUUGUACCGUGUAAUUUCCAUAUAAACAAUUUUUCGUGUCAUCAAUAGUUACGAAAUAAAACAGCUGUAACCACUUUAAGGCGGACACCCUGUAUUUUAGGCAUACGCGCCCAGAGUCAUAAAACUCGGUACCCGAUACCCUGGUCAAUAUGGAUUAGCGCGAUCUAAUUACACAAAAAUGUUAUAAAAAAGGCUACAGUUAGCACGAAGAAUCAGUCGAAAAUCAGCAAGCCAAGCAAACAAAAUCUGCAUCCGAAUCAUUAUGGGCUUUGAGGCUGUUUUCAACCUUUAACCAACUGAUUCUCGCGUUCUGCCCCCUCGGCAGACGACUUCGUACAACCAGAAUUGCUUCUGGAGCCAGAUUUACGCACUAGAACAUUCCUUGAACCUCGGCGGUCCUCCUAUUUCUACGAACAAGAAUAUCAACGUAGAAAAAGUUCUAUUGAUACUGAAGUUAAUUAAUUACAGAAGAUCACCGUAUCAACUUAUGCUAAUACAAAUCACAUGUAUUGGCUUAGAAAUCAUUUCCUUAUAUACCUGUGUUAACACAAAUUAUGAACACGAAUAACAAUAAAAAUAGCAACAAAGAAGAUCAUUAGAUAAAAGUAAAGAGAAAAGAAUAAAUUCUACAUAGAUUGUUAUGAAAUUGAAAAGAAUUCGAUGCAUUGCUUUUGAACUUCUUACAUGAUCAUAAUAAUUAUUGUAACAAACCGAACGAUGUCCGUUACUACUUCGCGAUUGAUCGCGCGGAUUUUAGUUUUCCCCCUUCGAGGCUAUAAUUCUCGAAUAACUAUAUUAGUCUGACGAUUCGUUGAAGCGUGUUAUUUUAAUAAUUAAUUUAAAAUAACUGUGGGAUUUCAGUUUCACGAAUUGAUGACUGGUUGCAUGUCUGUGAAUCUCGAUUGAUCGACUAUUAGAACGCACGAAGUCGGACGUUGAACUGCAAAUAUCGAUCUGAUGACUGUUUCAGAUCUUAUUCGUUCGAAAAAACUUAAUAGUAAGUGAGAAGUGAGUGACGAUUCCUCGAUUUUCGCAUGUUCGGAAGAAACAUAAUUGAUUUUCGCACGAAAAAUUAAUUUUCCAAUCAGCGUGUCCCUUAGUGUCGCGACCACCCUUUUGCACCCUUAGCACGAUUUUAACUUAGCAUGGGUCGGGCAAUACUUGAGCAUACGUGAGAACUUCGAAAGUUCCAUCCAGGUUAACCCUCAAAGGCCAAGUACCGCUGUGUCGACCUUUCUCUAAUUUACCCUUCGAAAGAAACAAGUUCAUGGCAUGAUUUCAGCUACAUAUUGAGAACGAAGCGAAAAUGAUGAAAAAUUCUAAAUGCAUUGUAAGAAAAAGUAAUGUUUUUACUUACAUAGAAACCGUUGUGAACGGCCAUGUAUGAGCAAGCAUUGAGUGGGUGCCUUGUAAAGGGUUGCUUUCCCUUACUUAUUGAUCUCGUCGGCGAAUCAUUCUAUGAUUUCAGCUCUAUGUAUAUCUGUCAAAGCUUACUUGGAAGGAUAGUUCUAAACGUCUCUAUCUAGGCGAUUCUGUACUUUCCAAGAAACAAAAAAAUAUAAAAUAAGUCAAGUUGUAAAAAGUACGGCCAGGGUACAAAAAUAUGACCGAAACUGUAACUUAUUUAGUUGCAACUUUUCGGUCUCAUUUGCUUCGAAUAACGGUUUAUAGAAAAAAUAAUCAUUCAAAAAGUUAUGAAAGACAUCAUUUACAAUGAUUAUUACAAAUUAUAACUGUCUUGUAAAACUAAAGAACAGUACAAAGUAAUGCAGUAUUGAUAAAAAUU